AUUUCUGCAUUUCUCUUCACUUGAUUCUUUUUAUUUAACCAAUGGAUGCUGAAUUCAACCACCACUAUCACCGUCGACCACUGCUGAGACUCAGAUGCUCAGUUCAGAACUAUGAUUGGGGCAAACCAGGCACGGAUUCCCAGGUUGCUAGGCUUUUUUCCUUGAAUUCUGGGUCUAAAAUUGAACUUGACAAGCUCUAUGCCGAGCUUUGGAUGGGAACCCACGAGUCUGGACCGUCUUUUCUGCUGGAAAGUGAUGUGGAGAAUGGGACUUCAAUUGGGUCUCAAUGUAUCACUCUGAAAGAGUGGAUUGCCAAGAACCCUAAUGUGCUUGGAGAUAAGGUUUUUGAUAAGUGGGGUUCUGAUCUCCCUUUCUUGUUCAAGGUACUUUCUGUAGCAAAAGCAUUGUCGAUUCAGGCUCACCCUGAUAAAGAAUUGGCCAAAAUGCUGCACAAGUUGCAGCCAGAUGUUUACAAGGAUGAUAACCAUAAGCCUGAGAUGGCUUUGGCCAUAACUGAGUUUGAGGCCCUUUGUGGUUUUAUCAGUCUUGAGGAGCUCAAAGGGGUACUUCAAAAUAUUCCUGAGAUUGUAGAACUGGUUGGCUGUACAGAUGCCAACCAAGUUUUACAUAUGAACGAGCAGGAUGGGGAGGAGAAAGUAAAAUCAGUCCUGAGAUCAAUUUUUAGCCAACUUAUGUCUGCUAGCAAAGAGAUGACAACUAAAAUAAUAUCAAAAUUGAAAACUCGAUUGCACCUAGAAAGCCAGGUGAGGAAGUUGACAGACAAGGAACGGCUGGUCUUGCAGUUAGAAAAGCAAUAUCCAGCCGAUAUUGGCAUUAUAUCAGCCUUCUUUUUCAAUUAUGUGAAGCUUAAUCCUGGUGAAGCACUGUAUCUUGGGGCAAAUGAGCCCCAUGCAUAUCUAUACGGUGAUUGUAUUGAAUGCAUGGCAACAUCAGACAAUGUUGUGCGGGCUGGCCUUACUCCCAAGCAUCGGGAUAUCCAAACAUUAUGUUCCAUGCUCACAUACAAACAGGGAUUCCCUGAAAUCCUGAAAGGAUUUCCUCUGAGUCCGUAUAUAACAAGAUAUCUCCCACCUUUUGAUGAAUUUGAGGUUGAUAGCUGUGUUCUUCCUAGGGGGGCAUCAACAGUGUUCCCUGCAGUCCCAGGUCCUUCCAUAUUUGUGAUCACAGCUGGGGAGGGAAGAAUGCACACCGAAUCAUCUAAAGAGGUUGUUACUGAAGGAGAUGUCCUGUUUGCACCUGCCAACAUUGAGAUUAGCAUAACAACUGUAUCUGAGCUGCAUCUGUAUAGGGCUGGUGUGAAUAGCAGGUUCUUCCAAAUUUUGUGAGUGGGAAGACAGAGCAGCUCUCAGUUUUAGGUUGGUGAUUUUCGAUUGAUUUUCAGAUUUUGCAUGCCUCAUGCUAUGUAUUGCCAACUUUUUCUUUUUACUUUUUUUAUUUUUAUAUAUUCUGUAUUUAUGUAAUAUAAUAUAAUAUUAGAACUUGCAUGUAAAUGCAAUCAGAGGCGGAUUUAGAAAUUUUUAUUGUUGGGGCAUUAUAUAUACGUGUAAAUUUAGGGAACUUUUUUUUAUUUAGAUCAAUCAAUAAUGGAAUAAGAUAGAAGAUAUAUA
rnacentral:misc_RNA from 1 species